UACGGGGGGGGCAAGCGUUGUUCGGAAUUACUGGGCGUAAAGGGUCUGUAGGUGGCUUGCUAAGUCAGACGUGAAAUCCCUCGGCUUAACCGGGGAACUGCGUCUGAUACUGGCGAGCUUGAGUGCAGGAGAGGAACGCGGAAUUCCAGGUGUAGCGGUGAAAUGCGUAGAUAUCAUUUGGAACGCCAAUGGUGAAAACAGCUCGCUGGGAAUGAUCUGACGCUGAGACGCGAAAGCCAGGGGAGCGAACGGG
rnacentral:rRNA from 1 species